AUCCAGUUGACGAGUCCCAAGUAGGAUGAAACGCGCGUCCUACUGGAU
rfam:Schistosoma rodhaini strain Burundi genome assembly, scaffold: SROB_scaffold0000165